AGGAAGAAUACAAGACAUUUUGAUAGAACUGACAGAGCACAAAAUACCAUGGAGAGGUGACAAAAGGAGUAAUUUGUGUUUGCUGGAACAUGAAGUUGUGGAGGCCAAAAAUAAUUGUUUCUGAAAAGAGCCUUUAAAGAAUGGAAUAAUCACCAGAAAUACAGAGAGACCAUGCCAAGAGUAAGGAGGAGAAGGCACAAAGGCAUAGUAUCAGGGAAGAAUUUUCUAGGAAUAAUGAAUAUUUCAAGUUAGCUGGACCAUAAGUACAUAAGGGGAAGUGGUGAGGCCUCAGAAUUAUAACUUUGUUCAAUAUUAUGUAAUGAACUUAUGUAAUGUCUAUUGAAUGCCUGGCCAGAGCCUGGACUUGAUCCUAAAGGCAGUGAAGGGCCAUUGAGAGAUUUGAGGACUUGAAGAAAAUAUCUGGAGCUACAGUUCAGGAAGAUUGUUCUGAUGCUAGUUUGGAGCAAAAUCUGCAUUUACAAACCUAAAAAUAAUUUUCCUGACUGUUAUUUUAACAUUUAAUGAGUUAAAUUCUCAGCGGUCUGUAUUCCCUGUUCUCUCUUCCAACUAAGCAUGUAUUGUUUUCAAAGUUUGGAGAGAAGAGAAAUAAUAAAUAACAUGUUAUUAUUUCAUACCUAUGAUGUCACAAUAUAGGAGUUAUAACCUUGGUUUUCAGAUAAGGAAAGCAGUGGUUGGCUUGGGGAAAGAACAGAAGGACUUUUGGGGAAAGGCAUGCCUGGAGGCCAGCACCCUAGUUGGUGAAUGCUUGAAAAAAUGUUUUGAUGUUGAGUCUGAGCCACACGGCCUUCUGCUAACAUGGUUUAAGUGCAUCUGUACAGGGAAGGAACUACCUAUUUUGAUUGCCUGAAUUCAAAUUAUGGCUCUCAUACUUACCUAUUGGAUGACUUGGGGCUAAUGCAUAAACUUCUUUAAUCCUCAGCUUCCUCAUCUGUAAAAUGGAAUGCUAAAACUGUGUACCUCAUAGAGUAGAAUUAAAUAAGUUAAUAAGCAAAAGCACUAAAACAGUGUCUAGCACAUAGUAUGUACUGUGUAAUAAAAAUAUUCGCUAUUUUAAUAGAACCA
rnacentral:lncRNA from 1 species